GGGUUGUGAGGUUAAGCGACUAAGCGUACACGGUGGAUGCCUAGGCAGUCAGAGGCGAUGAAGGGCGUGCUAAUCUGCGAAAAGCGUCGGUAAGGUGAUAUGAACCGUUAUACCCGACGAUACCCGAAUGGGGAAACCCAAUGUGAUACGUCACAUUAUCGCAUGGUGAAUACAUAGCCAUGCGAGGCGAACCGGGGGAACUGAAACAUCUAAGUACCCCGAGGAAAAGAAAUCAACCGAGAUUCCCCCAGUAGCGGCGAGCGAACGGGGAACAGCCCAGAACCUGAAUCAGUUUGUGUGUUAGUGGAAGCGUCUGGAAGGUCGCACGGUACAGGGUGAUAGUCCCGUACACAAAAGCGCAUAAAUUGUGAGUUCGAUGAGUAGGGCGGGACACGUGACAUCCUGUCUGAAUAUGGGGGGACCAUCCUCCAAGGCUAAAUACUCCUGACUGACCGAUAGUGAACCAGUACCGUGAGGGAAAGGCGAAAAGAACCCCGGCGAGGGGAGUGAAAUAGAACCUGAAACCGUGUACGUACAAGCAGUGGGAGCCUACUUGUUAGGUGACUGCGUACCUUUUGUAUAAUGGGUCAGCGACUUAUAUUUUGUAGCAAGGUUAACCGUAUAGGGGAGCCGUAGGGAAACCGAGUCUUAACUGGGCGUCAAGUUGCAAGGUAUAGACCCGAAACCCGGUGAUCUAGCCAUGGGCAGGUUGAAGGUUGGGUAACACUAACUGGAGGACCGAACCGACUAAUGUUGAAAAAUUAGCGGAUGACUUGUGGCUGGGGGUGAAAGGCCAAUCAAACCGGGAGAUAGCUGGUUCUCCCCGAAAGCUAUUUAGGUAGCGCCUCGUGAACUCAUCUUCGGGGGUAGAGCACUGUUUCGACUAGGGGGCCAUCCCGGCUUACCAACUCGAUGCAAACUCCGAAUACCGAAGAAUGUUAUCACGGGAGACACACGGCGGGUGCUAACGUCCGUCGUGAAGAGGGAAACAACCCAGACCGCCAGCUAAGGUCCCAAAGUCAUGGUUAAGUGGGAAACGAUGUGGGAAGGCAUAGACAGCCAGGAUGUUGGCUUAGAAGCAGCCAUCAUUUAAAGAAAGCGUAAUAGCUCACUGGUCGAGUCGGCCUGCGCGGAAGAUGUAACGGGGCUAAACCAUGCACCGAAGCUGCGGCAGCGACGCUUAGGCGUUGUUGGGUAGGGGAGCGUUCUGUAAGCCGUAGAAGGUGAACUGUGAGGUUUGCUGGAGGUAUCAGAAGUGCGAAUGCUGACAUAAGUAACGAUAAUGCGGGUGAAAAACCCGCACGCCGGAAGACCAAGGGUUCCUGUCCAACGUUAAUCGGGGCAGGGUGAGUCGACCCCUAAGGCGAGGCUGAAAAGCGUAGUCGAUGGGAAACAGGUUAAUAUUCCUGUACUUGGUGUUACUGCGAAGGGGGGACGGAGAGGGCUAGGCUAGCCGGGCGACGGUUGUCCCGGUUUAAGCGUGUAGGGGUGUAGACCUGGUAAAUCCGGUUUACUGUAACCCUGAGGCGUGAUGACGAGUCACUACGGUGAUGAAGUAGUUGAUGCCGCACUUCCAGGAAAAGCCUCUAAGCAUCAGGUAACAUUAAAUCGUACCCCAAACCGACACAGGUGGUCAGGUAGAGAAUACUCAGGCGCUUGAGAGAACUCGGGUGAAGGAACUAGGCAAAAUGGUGCCGUAACUUCGGGAGAAGGCACGCUGUCGCUAGGUGGAGGAACUUGCUUCCCGAGCCGAAGACAGUCGAAGAUACCAGCUGGCUGCAACUGUUUAAUAAAAACACAGCACUGUGCAAACACGAAAGUGGACGUAUACGGUGUGACGCCUGCCCGGUGCCGGAAGGUUAAUUGAUGGGGUUAUCCGCAAGGAGAAGCUCUUGAUCGAAGCCCCGGUAAACGGCGGCCGUAACUAUAACGGUCCUAAGGUAGCGAAAUUCCUUGUCGGGUAAGUUCCGACCUGCACGAAUGGCGUAAUGAUGGCCAGGCUGUCUCCACCCGAGACUCAGUGAAAUUGAACUCGCUGUGAAGAUGCAGUGUACCCGCGGCAAGACGGAAAGACCCCGUGAACCUUUACUAUAGCUUGACACUGAACAUUGAGCCUUGAUGUGUAGGAUAGGUGGGAGGCUUUGAAGCGUGGACGCCAGUCUGCGUGGAGCCAACCUUGAAAUACCACCCUUUAAUGUUUGAUGUUCUAACUCGGCCCCGUAAUCCGGGGUGAGGACAGUGUCUGGUGGGUAGUUUGACUGGGGCGGUCUCCUCCUAAAGAGUAACGGAGGAGCACGAAGGUUAGCUAAUCACGGUCGGACAUCGUGAGGUUAGUGCAAUGGCAUAAGCUAGCUUGACUGCGAGAGUGACGGCUCGAGCAGGUACGAAAGUAGGUCAUAGUGAUCCGGUGGUUCUGAAUGGAAGGGCCAUCGCUCAACGGAUAAAAGGUACUCCGGGGAUAACAGGCUGAUACCGCCCAAGAGUUCAUAUCGACGGCGGUGUUUGGCACCUCGAUGUCGGCUCAUCACAUCCUGGGGCUGAAGUAGGUCCCAAGGGUACGGCUGUUCGCCGUUUAAAGUGGUACGCGAGCUGGGUUUAGAACGUCGUGAGACAGUUCGGUCCCUAUCUGCCGUGGGCGUUGGAAGAUUGAGAGGGGCUGCUCCUAGUACGAGAGGACCGGAGUGGACGCAUCACUGGUGUUCGGGUUGUCAUGCCAAUGGCAUUGCCCGGUAGCUAAAUGCGGAAAAGAUAAGCGCUGAAAGCAUCUAAGCGCGAAACUUGCCUCAAGAUGAGUCUUCCCUGGAGCUUCGAGCUCCCUGAAGGGACGUUUAAGACUAAGACGUUGAUAGGCUGGGUGUGUAAGUGCAGCGAUGCAUUGAGCUAACCAGUACUAAUGACCCGAGAGGCUUAACCUUACAACACCGAAGGUGUUUUAG
rnacentral:rRNA from 1 species